UAAAUAACUCGGCAAACCUGUUGAAAAGCAGGGACGCAAAGCUAUGGGUCUACAAUCGUUAUGCGAUCAAGACUGCCAGGCCGCCAUG
rnacentral:ncRNA from 1 species